AACGAACGCUGGCGGCAUGCCUAACAUAUGCAAGUCGAACGAGACCUUCGGGUCUAGUGGCGCACGGGUGCGUAACGCGUGGGAACCUGCCCUUAGGUUCGGAAUAACUCCCCGAAAGGGGUGCUAAUACCGGAUAAUGUCUUCGGACCAAAGAUUUAUCGCCUUUGGAUGGGCCCGCGUUGUAUUAGCUAGUUGGUAGGGUAAAAGCCUACCAAGGCGACGAUCCAUAGCUGGUCUGAGAGGAUGCUCAGCCACACUGGGACUGAGACACGGCCCAGAAUCCUACGGGAGGCAGCAGUGGGGAAUAUUGGACAAUGGGCGAAAGCCUGAUCCAGCAAUGCCGCGUGAGUGAUGAAGGCCUUAGGGUUGUAAAGCUCUUUUACCCGGGAUGAUAAUGACAGUACCGGGAGAAUAAGCUCCGGCUAACUCCGUG
rnacentral:rRNA from 1 species